rnacentral:ribozyme from 1 species
GUGUAAUGUUGCUGUGAUUUGUGAUGGUGAGUGCGUGUGAAGCGUUUGAGUGUCAAAAGUAUGUUUUCUCGUUUGUUACGAUUGCGUGUAUAUAAAGUUGUUUGCGUCGCAGGGAUUUUGGCUA